GGCUGAGCUCCUUACUCCCCGGACUUCCUCUGUCACCUGCUCUCAGUGAGGACACACAGCAUGAGAUUAGGACGUGUCACGAACUCAGUGGGGAACAGAAGCCAGAAGAGUCAAGCAAGUUUCCUAAGGCCACCCAGAGAAAAGCAAUAAUACUGACUUCGCGAGGUCUGCGUGAAGAGGAAUAUGUACGUUAUGCAUUGAAUGCAUUCCUCAUACGCAGUGGACACUCCAACUGGGACCAACGACUAUUCAUCUUGAGCAGCAGCUUCGGGAUGGCCUGUGAUUGUACUGACCUGGCAAGCAUGGCUCACGACAGCUCACAAUAGUCCCUGAAAUUCAUUCACCUCACUGGAUGUUCAGUCUGAAAGCCAAAUUUUCAGCCUUGUUUAUAACAAUGAUGAAAACAUGAAG